AAAGUAUUAGGAAUAACUUCCUAAUGUCGAGGGUGUGAAAGUCUGGGCUGCCGAGGAAUCCCCCUCUCUUGAGAUUCUUUAAAAAUUGGAUACUUAAUCAGCUCUAAGGCAGAUCAAGACCAGGACAACGCCUCACGUUCAAGUAACAGGCAGUUUGUACAGGAUCGCAAAUUUGCACAUCACCGCUCAGUUUUUUAAGGAAAACGUAGCGUCUUUGUUCCCUCUGCACUUGCUUUGUUUCACCAAAACUGGUUUCGGCCAGCUGAAGCUGUAAAAGAAUCAUGACCUUCAGCAACCUCCCCACCAUCACCACGAGUAAAAAGAGCUGAUAAACAACCAAGAACUCUGGGUGACCCCGGUUCAUCAGACCUCACUGGACCCAGCUGAGGGCUCUUUCCUGCCCAAGGAACAACAGGACUUGUUUUAACCAACCAUGUACAGACUAAUGGAUGCACCUGACUUUGCAGAGCACAAACUUUCAAUCAUGAAUUAGCAAACCUAGCAUGACGGCCUCCCUUUCUAGUGCAUAAACCCCCCUGACUUACCCUCGGAAAAGUAGUCCCUUGCUGGGUAUCCCUCUGCCCAGGAAGUAACUCAGCUCAGUGCUUGCUCUGUUGAUGCUUUACUCCUGGCUUUCCAUGGAUAACGCCAACGGGAGGAGGAAGUGAGCACACCAGCAUCUGCUGUCUCUGCCUUCCUCUUCAGCCCUCACUCUCCUCCUCUCAAGAGCUUCUUUUUAUGGGGUAGGACUUCCCUGAAGCCCUUGUUCCCAGGGGCACUAAGCCACAGGCUCUGGCAUUGGUGGCAGAUAGGUGCGUGAAGAAAAACUCAGUAAUAAGGACACUGAAUGAAAAGUAGUUUUAAGUUCCUGUUCCAUUACCUAUAUCAUGAAUGAAAAACUGACCGUUUAGGUGCACCCGGGUGGCUCAGUCGGUUAAGUGUCCAAGUUCAGCUCAGGUCAUGAUCUCACGGUUUGUGAGUUCGAGCCCCGCGUCGGGCUCUGUGCUGACGGCUCAGAGCCUGGAGCCUCC